UGUUAAAUUUACACUGAAAUUUGAGUAUGGAUUUGGCUAUGAGUAAACAAGCAGGUGACAACAGUACCUUUGUGCUCUACAUUAAUAUAUAGUGGAAUUGAUAGAUUUCACAAAAGUAUGGUUAGUUGAAAUAGUGUUGAUCUUAUCCAUCUAUAUUGUGGUUUCUUCUAUUUAUUAUGGGUUGACCUUGUUUAAAAAGAGUACCUUGAAUUAAUGUUGUAUACAAGGGAAAGGGAGUGGUGUUCUUCAAUUUCUCAUCCGAGUGUUCUUCAAUUUCUCAUCCGAGUGUUCUUCAAGUCCCAUGCAUAUAUUAAUAAGCACUUGCUAAUGUGCUUCACAACUGGUUAUGCAUGCAGCCUCUUCAUGCUUUGAAGGAUACAUCUUCAAUCUUUCAAAUAUUAUGAUACUGACAAUGACGUUAACAGACAAUAUAUUGUUAAAGGAGGUGCUCGCACGGAGGAGGACCUCAACGUGGUGGGCAUACUUUGCAGGUCUCCUGUUCUUCAGCUGAAGAUCAUACUUGCUGUGGAGCCUUUGAUCCCUUCAGAGGGACCAAGGAUUGGAGAGCACAUUUUCGGUUACACAGUCA